GAUGAACGCUGGCGGCGUGCCUAAUACAUGCAAGUCGAGCGAACAGAUGAGGAGCUUGCUCCUCUGACGUUAGCGGCGGACGGGUGAGUAACACGUGGAUAACCUACCUAUAAGACUGGGAUAACUUCGGGAAACCGGAGCUAAUACCGGAUAAUAUAUUGAACCGCAUGGUUCAAUAGUGAAAGACGGUUUUGCUGUCACUUAUAGAUGGAUCCGCGCCGCAUUAGCUAGUUGGUAAGGUAACGGCUUACCAAGGCAACGAUGCGUAGCCGACCUGAGAGGGUGAUCGGCCACACUGGAACUGAGACACGGUCCAGACCCCUACGGGAGGCAGCAGUAGGGAAUCGUCCGCAAUGGGCGAAAGCUUGACGGAGCAACGCCGCGUGAGUGAUGAAGGUCUUCGGAUCGUAAAACUCUGUUAUUAGGGAAGAACAAAUGUGUAAGUAACUAUGCACGUCUUGACGGUACCUAAUCAGAAAGCCACGGCUAACUACGUG
rnacentral:rRNA from 1 species